UUAUUCAAUGGCCGCGGUAUAUUAACUGUGCUAAGGUAGCAUAAUCACUUGUCUUUUAAUUAAAGGCUAGAAUGAAUGGCUGGACGAAAUAUAAUCUUUCUUUAAUUUAAUUUUUAUAACUUAAUUUUUAAGUCAAAAAGCUGAAAUAUAUUUGAGGGACGAGAAGACCCUAUAGAUCUUUAUAUAUUAUUUUAUUAUAUAUUUUAGUAUAUUUAUUAUUUAUAAUGGAAAARUGUAUUUGGUUGGGGCGAUUGUAGAAUAUAUUAAACUUCUAUUUAUUUAUUUUCAUAAAUUAAUGUAUUGUUGAUCCAAUAUAAUUGAUUACAAUAUUAAGUUACCUUAGGGAUAACAGCGUAAUUUUUUCGSAGAGUUCUUAUCAAUGAUAAAGCU
rnacentral:rRNA from 1 species